rnacentral:rRNA from 1 species
UACGAAGGGGGCUAGCGUUGUUCGGCGUUACUGGGCGUAAAGGGCGCGUAGGCGGCGCACCAAGUCAGGCGUGAAAGCCCUGGGCUCAACCCGGGAAUUGCGCUUGAGACUGGUGUGCUUGAGUACGGGAGAGGAGAGUGGAAUUCCCAGUGUAGAGGUGAAAUUCGUAGAUAUUGGGAAGAACACCGGUGGCGAAGGCGGCUAUCUGGACCGUAACUGACGCUGAGGCGCGAAAGCGUGGGGAGCAAACAGG